rnacentral:lncRNA from 1 species
AAAUCAAGAAAGGAAACUCGAACUCCAGAAUAAAUUAAGUCCCCAGUAGUCCUAUGAAUCGUUUCUUAUUGAAUUUUGCACAGAACCUCCAAACUUGACACCAAUUCUGCUGAUACCUUUACCUUAAUUGGGCAAACAUUUCUGUCAACAAAAACUUCAACUUUCCCAUAGAAGCUGACACCAAGUUCACCAAAUUCAUUCAUAUGGCUAGGAAUUUAAACUUUCUAUUACAAAAAAGGCAAAUUAAUAAUAAUAUACCCACUUAACCUAAUAUGCGCAAAACUUAAGAAAGAAACCCUACACCCAAAUACCUCAAAAGGGUUUAAACAGCACAAGAAAAUGCAUAAAUUGUGAAGCGCAUGAAUUCAUAUAAUAAUCAAAGAUUUUCAAAUAACAUAUAAAAGAGUUAUACAGAGAUUUACAACUAGAUUGAGAUCAAGUUUACAAUUUAAAGAAGAAGAAAAAAACUUGAAAUUUUAAAGAUUUUGAAGCUUACCAACAACUUUUGAUGAUCCUUCUGAUCCCAUUUCUGGCAGCAUCUAAAACAGCAAAUUAAAGGUUUUUGAGUUGAAAAACCAAAAGGGUAUUCCUAAAAAGAGUAAGAAAGAGGCAACGAGAGAGAGAGAGAGAUAGAGGNNNN